rnacentral:tRNA from 1 species
CCAUUAAGAAGCUAUGGAACNNAGCACUAGCCUUUUAAGCUAGAGAAAGAGGACUCNACCCCCCUCCUUAAUGGU